GACUGCAACAGGAUCUUCAGCCAGAAUUAUCACGUCAUCCUGACUGAGUCACCUCUCCUGAAAAGUCCAUGUUUUAGGCAUCAAGCAUUGCUAUUUCCCUGGGGAGAGCAUUCCACAGUCUAUUACAUUUCAUUGAGCAAGCUUUUGCCUUCUGUGAAGUUCAAAUGUUCAAACUGGAUCAUCCCAGAUAACUCCCUGAACCAACACUACAUAUCAGCAAAGUGUAAUGCUGCCUUAUUUCUCCAGAG
rnacentral:lncRNA from 1 species